rnacentral:rRNA from 1 species
ACGAACGCUGGCGGCAGGCCUAACACAUGCCAGUCGAGCGCGCCCUUCGGGGUGAGCGGCGGACGGGUGAGUAACGCGUGGGAACGUGCCCUUUUCUACGGAAUAGCCUCGGGAAACUGAGAGUAAUACCGUAUACGCCCUUUGGGGGAAAGAUUUAUCGGAAAAGGAUCGGCCCGCGUUGGAUUAGGUAGUUGGUGGGGUAAUGGCCUACCAAGCCGACGAUCCAUAGCUGGUUUGAGAGGAUGAUCAGCCACACUGGGACUGAGACACGGCCCAGACUCCUACGGGAGGCAGCAGUGGGGAAUCUUAGACAAUGGGGGCAACCCUGAUCUAGCCAUGCCGCGUGAGUGAUGAAGGCCUUAGGGUUGUAAAGCUCUUUCAGCUGGGAAGAUAAUGACGGUACCAGCAGAAGAAGCCCCGGCUAACUCCGUG